rnacentral:miRNA from 1 species
ACCUAUAGGUAACUUGAGCUGUUAUAUACAAAUGUUUGACGUCAUUAGGAAAGCGUAAAUAUAUGUUUGUAAUCUGACUACUGGCUACAGAGCAGGAAUUUUUUUUUUACGCUUUCCUAAUGACGUCAAACAUUUGUAUAUAACAACUCAAGUUACCUAUAGGUU